UACGGAGGAUGCAAGCGUUAUCCGGAAUGAUUGGGCGUAAAGCGUCCGCAGGUGGCAAUGUAAGUCUGCUGUUAAAGAGUCUAGCUCAACUAGAUAAAAGCAGUGGAAACUACAUAGCUAGAGUACGUUCGGGGCAGAGGGAAUUCCUGGUGUAGCGGUGAAAUGCGUAGAGAUCAGGAAGAACACCAGUGGCGAAGGCGCUCUGCUAGGCCGCAACUGACACUGAGGGACGAAAGCUAGGGGAGCGAAUGGG
rnacentral:rRNA from 1 species